rnacentral:rRNA from 1 species
CAAAAGCGUAUAUUAAAGUUGUUGCAGUUAAAAAGCUCGUAGUUGAACCUUGGGCUUGGCUGGCCGGUCCAUCUUUUUUGAUGCGUACUGGACCCAGCCGAGCCUUUCCUUCUGGCUAGCCUUUUGGCGAACCAGGACUUUUACUUUGAAAAAAUUAGAGUGUUCAAAGCAGGCCUUUGCUCGAAUAUAUUAGCAUGGAAUAAUAGAAUAGGACGUUAUGGUUCUAUUUUGUUGGUUUCUAGGACCAUCGCAAUGAUUAAUAGGGACGGUCGGGGGUAUCAGUAUUCAGUUGUCAGAGGUGAAAUUCUUGGAUUUACUGAAGACUAACUACUGCGAAAGCAUUUACCAAGGACGUUUUCAUUAA